rnacentral:lncRNA from 10 species
UAAAAGUAUGGCCCUUUCAUGCAACUAGAAAGGUGAUGUCUUCUGCCAUGAUGCAGCAAGACAGAUGCCGGCCCGUUGAUCUUGGACCUCCCAGCCUCCAGAACUCUGAGAAAUGAAUUUCUGUUCAUUAUAAUUACCCAGUCUCAAGUAUUCUGUUAUAGCAACGCAAAAUGGACUAACACACAUGCUGAAUGAGUCAAUAUUUCCCAAAGUGUGUUUCAUAAAAGUAGGCUAAAUAGAUGUCACAAGUCAAGUGUUCCAUAGUCAAAUAAGAUUGGAAAAUGCUGAAUAUAACAAGUCCAACAAUAAAGAAAUGGCUAACUUAUAAAAGCCAUUAAUAUAUUCACGUUCCUAGAAACCAUCCAAAAGAUAGCUAGAGGUGGCUCACACCUGUAAUCCUAGCACUUCGGGAGGCCAAGGCAGGCAGAUCACCUGAAGUCAGGAACUCAAGACCAGCUGGGCCAAUAUGGCGAAACCCCUUCUCUACUAAAAAUACAAAAAUUAGCCGGGCAUGGUGGUACACGUCUGUAACCGCAGCUACCUGGGAGACUGAGGCAGGAGAAUUGCUUGAACCCAGGAGGCAAAGGUUGCAGUGAGCCGAGAUCAAGCCACUGCAUUCCAGCCUGGGCAACAGAGCGAGACUCUGUUUUUAAAAAAAAUUAAAAAAUAAAUUUAAAAAACCCCAAAAAAUAGCUAGAGCAUGUAAUGUAUCUCAGAUUUCUUUUCUCACAGAUAUUCUUUUCACUAAGCAUCUCAGAAGACUAGUAUUAUAGGGAAUGGACUCUUGAGAUAAGAACUGAGAGGAAAAAGAAAGGUUUAAAUACAGCUAUGUAUCAAGCACUUCAUAUACAUCAUUUAAAAUUAUCUAAUUCUCACAAUAAUCCUAUCAAGUAAUUAACUUGUCUGAGAUCACAAGGUGAAUUAUAGCAGAACCCACAUUUAAAACCUAGCCAACAGUAUGUCUCUGAAGUCCUGCAACAUUGUCUUUUUAAUAAGAAAAAAAUAUCAAAGAGAGUCCUAUGGGGUGUGGUGGAAAGGAAAGAAAAUAAGAAAAGCAAUGGGAACAAGAAACAUUACUGUUGGUACAAAGCCCAAGCAAAAAUGAGUUGAGGCUCUAACAACCCAUUUAAAAACCAAAAGAGAACUUGAACAGACAUUUCACCAAAAAGGUUAUACAAAUAGCAAAUAAGCACAUGAAAAGAUGUUCAACAGCCAUUAAGAAAAUACAAAUUAAAACCACAAUGAGACACCACUAUAUGCCUAUUGGAAUGGCUAAGACAGAAAAUACUGACAUCAAGUGCUGACAAGCAAGCAGACCAACUGGAACUCUUACAUGUUGCUGAGGGGAACACAAAAUGGUGUAGCCACUCUGGAAAGCAGUUGGGCAGUUUGUUAUAAAGUCAAACACUUACCAUAGGACCUGGCAAUCCCAUUCUUGAGUAUUUACACUGGAAAAAUGGAAACUUAAGUUCACACAAAAACCUGAACACAAAUGUUUAUGGCAGCUCUAUUGAAAAUUGUCCCAAACUGGGCCAGGCGCAGUGGCUAACACCUGUAACCCCAGCACUUUGGGAGGAUGAGGCGGGUGGAUCACUUGCGGUCAGGAGUUCGAGAACAGCCUGGCUAACAUGGUGAAACCCUGUCUCUACUAAAAAUACAAAAAUUAGCUGGGCAUUGUGGCAGGUACCUGUAAUCCCAGUGACUUGAGAGGCUGAGGCAGGAGAAUCGCUUGAACCCAGGAGGCGGAGGUUGCAGUGAGCUGUGAUCGCGCCACCGCACUCCAGUCUGGAUGACAGAGUGAGACUCCGUCUCAAAAAAACAAAAAAAGAAAAGAAAAUUGUCCCAAACUGAAAGCAACUUAAAUGUCCUUCAGUGAAUGAAGGGAUAAACAAGGUGUGGUACACAUCCAUACUAUGGAAUACCACUCAACAAUACAAAGGAAUGAAGUAUUGAUAGACACAAGUUGGAUGAAUCUCAAAGGCAUUUUGCUGAGUCUCCCACAGAAGCCAAUCUCAAAAGAUCUCAUACUAUAUGAUUCUAGCUCUAUGACACUGCUGAAAGACAAAACUCUAGUGGUGGAGAACACAUCAGUGGCUGCCAGGGAUUAAAGGGGGGGAAUAUGUGACUACAGAGGGAUUGCAUGAGACAGUCUUUUGGGGUGAUGAAACUGUUCCGCUGUUUGUGGGGUUAUGCGAAUUUACAUGUGUUAAAAUUCACAGAACCGUACAAUAAACCAACAAAAUCCAUUUUACUGUGUGACGAUUUUUUAAAUUAAGAGAAAAAAAGCAGAAAAUGUGUUGAAGCACAUUUUCAUGCCAGUUAUAUGUAAAUAAUAAAAAGUCAUGCCAUGAAUGUCAUAUCAUAGGACACAUAGUUAUUAUUGAAUAACUACAGAUGAGAAUUUUGCAGCUUCACUUGAAUUUUAAAUUUCCACACUUAUUUUAGAUAUAAUUACCUUCUGCUCAGAAUUGUAACAAAAGUUUAGGUGAAAGUAAGGUCCUUC